UUUAAGACUGGAUGACAAAGGUGCACUCCUCAAGAUGAGGAACCGGCUGGUUGAAGGUAAAGAACCUUUGGAACAAUCCGGGCCGAUGGGAAAAGGCAAGAGGGCAAAGAAAAGGAGGCCUUUUCUGGAGGAGGACGACGACGUGGAACAGUCAGAGGAGAGACCAAGCAAAAAACCAAGGCCGGAGUCAUCGUCAUCCACAGACAUUAUCCAAAAUAUAUAAGGAUCUUCAGAAGUA